ensembl:lncRNA uncharacterized protein PB18E9.04c-like
CAAAAACUGCAGGAUUAACAGAUAUAUAAGCUCAUAAACGUAACUCAUGAGGAGCAAUUUGAUCUUUGUGGCUAUCCUGGGGAUAGCAUGCAUGAUGAUUGGAGUCAAUGGGAACAAUACAACGAGCAGUAGCAACUCCAUAGGCAGCUGGAUAUCUUCUAACAUGACCACCAACCUGACCCAGACACUCCCUCCCAACAUAACCACCAACCUGAACCAAACAAGCCUUGCCAACAUAACCAACAUCCUGCCCCAAACACAGCCUCCCAACAUAACCACCAACUCGCCCCAAACACAGCCUCCCAACAUAACCACCAACCUGAACCAAACAAGCCUUGCCAACAUAACCAACAUCCUGCCCCAAACACAGCCUCCCAACAUAACCACCAACCUGACCCAAACACAGCCUCCCAACAUAACCACCAACUCGACCCAAACACAGCCUCCCAACAUAACCACCAACUCGACCCAAACACAGCCUCCCAACAUAACCACCAACUCGACCCAAACACAGCCUCCCAACAUAACCACCAACCUGAACCAAACAAGCCCUGCCAACAUCACCGCAAACCCGACCCAGUCAGGCCCCCUCACUGUAACAAACAUUAUAAAAACGUCAAGUUCUAAUACUCAAUCAAUAGAAAUCACUGGCAGGGAUAACUGCAAGAGGGAUAGAGCAUGUUUCUCUGCUCCACCUUCCUGUAAUCCAAGUGCACAAGGUUCCUGCUAUUUCCUCUCUACAAGAGGAGUAGGUGGAAAUGCAGAUAAUUUUACUUUUGAGAUCAGUGGUGAGACAGAUGGUUACAUCGGAGCAGGCCUCUCUCGAGACAAGCGUGGUCAAGGAGCCACUGUCUAUUCUUGUGCCAAAGUCAAUAGUGAACUGAGGUUUUUCCGUUCCACACUGAACAAUCAAAUACUGACUCAGGAUAACACAUUCAUCCCUGGAAGUUUCCGUGGUUCGAUGAAUGGAAGAAAGAUUCAGUGCAUUUUCACUGCUGCAGGUCUCAGCAACAAUGCCCGUGCUGCAGCCACAGACAAUUUUGUCUUAUUUUUAACAGGAAGCGUCUCAAAUGGUUCUCUGGAUUCUCCAGUCACUAGACUGGCCACAAAUGGGUCAGUGGACUUAAGCAACCCUAACAGCACAGAUGUUACAGUAAUAACACCCAGUAUAGAUGCCACCACUACAGCCCCAAACAGCACUGCAUCUACUGCCACUGCAGCAUUAAACACCACUGCAUCUACUGCGUCUGGAGUAUCUACAGCUAAUAAUGGUACAGCAAAUGACAAGGUCACCAAAGACAACUGUAAGAAGGACAGGGCAUGUUUCUCCACUCCAGCCAACUGUGAUCCAUCCAGCUCAAGUAGCUGCUUUUUUGCCUCCACAAGAGGGGUGAACGGAGACUCCGACAAUCUCACUUUUGAGCUCAGCGGGGAUGCAAAUGGUUACAUUGCAGUUGGCCUGUCUCGAGACAAGAAGGAGGGUGAUAAUGACACCGUCUAUUCUUGUGCCAACAACAAUGGUGUGGCGAAGUUCAUCCGUGCAACACUGAAUAAUACCAUUCUGACUCCGGAUAAUACCGUAAGACUCCCUUUUACAGAUAAUUUUCUUUAUUGCCAAGCUUUGCACAAAAGAUUAUUGACUAUAAAUUAUGUGGUAAUGAACAGCAAUGGGGACGGCUUUAAAGAACAAAGCAUUCUGAGACAACUAUACAGUAGAACAGUAACAAUGCAAAUGUUUGUUCAACGGCAGCAAGCGAAAAAAGCGAAACCCAGAGUAGAGCUGGAGGGUUUAUGGAAUGCUUUGAGGUGAAGGGACACCUCCCUCACUGUGACAUCUAAUUUGUAGCAAUACAUUUGUACUUGUUUUGUCUUACAGUUUAACCCCAGAUCCUUCCGUGGCUCUGUGAGCGGCACUAGGAUUCAGUGCAUUUUUGUAGCUGCGGGCCUCAGCAGAAUCAUCCGUGCAGCAAACACAGAUACUUUCCUCUAUUUCUUCACUGGCAACUAUGCAAACGGUAAGAGUGACACUACGAAAACAGUACUGAAGGAGAUUCCAAUUGGUAGCAAAAUUAAAAUGUUUUCUUUAUUUCCAUUCCCACAGGCACUCUGGGGUCGCCAGUCACACGAAUGUCUACAAAUUCAUCGGUUGAUCUAACGAGCACUAACAGCUCAGAUGUUGUCAUAAUAACACCCACUACAAAUACUACCACUACUACGGUUUCUACUACAGCAAAACCUGCUACUACAGCAGGGAGCAAUGCACUGCAUCAUGCUGCAUCUCAGGGUAAGAAUUCUAUACGGCCACACCAGGUAGAGUCUGCAUUUUGAGAGAAAAUAUCUACAGUGUGUUAAAAAGAGUGACACAAAGGACUACUCUUUAGCUGCUAAAUGCUCUUGUUUGAAAUUAAUUGGUGCAUGAUAUGCAUUUGCCCAACAGACAGAACAGCAUUUGCAAUACAGGAGUUAUUUCUAGCCAAUAGAAGCAGUAUCAUUUUAGUGAUGUGCUUUUCAAGAGUCAGUUACCUGAGCAAAAAUAUUAGGAUAAAUCAUUUGAAGUUCUUUAAUAAAUGACUUAACUAUUAAUUUUUCUUGUCUUUUCAGCUGCUCUGGUAAUUCUCUCAGGGAUCCUUGCAGUCCUCCUGUUGUAAGGAUGCUGCCAACACGUCAUUUGCUUUCUGAAAUUGGUCGAUGAGCACUGAACGCUUGAUGAACCCAACACUAAAGUAUAUGUAAUUCAGCAUAUUUAUAACUGUGCAAUGUUGUGACUCUGGGAACAAUGAGGAAAGGAGCUGCAAAUAUGGGGAAGAGGGCAAUACAUCAUUUAUUUUAUCUGUGUGUAUGUGUGAGAGAGGUUGUGUUUGAGUGUGUUUUGUGAGCAUUAGUGUUUGCAUUCUACUAAUGUACUGCUACUUAAAAUCAGGCUCCUGCACAGAGAGGGCUGAUACAAAUUAGUGUAAUUGGUCUAUUGAUUUAAUUGUGCAAGUGUGAUGCCACGUGGCUGAAAUGAUCAAAGAUAAUUAUUUUUAGAUGUCUUAAUUUAUUUUGCAACUGUUGCCUCAAACCUGUAGUUGCCUGUAACUUUUAAAUAAAGUCACAUGUAUAUUUUUUUUGAAGAAAAAGAUGUAUAAUAAAAUGUUUAUGUAAACAAUGAAACUGCUAGAUCUCUCUCUCUCUGUGUGUGUGUGUGUGUGUGUGUGCUUUCACCAGUGCAUGGAAUAAGGGUUUAAGGCACAGCAAAGAACAUAGCUA